UCCCUGGCAGUCUAGUGGUUAAGAUUUUGUGUUUCCAAUGCAGGAGGUUCAGAUUCAAUCCCUGAUCAGGGAA
rfam:TPA: Bos taurus chromosome 19, whole genome shotgun sequence.